AUGGAGUUUGCACUUGGCUGGGUUUUCCUUGUUGCUCUUUUAUAAGGUGCCCAGUCUGAGGUGCAGCUGGUGGUGCUUGGGGAGAACUGGUAAAGCCUGGAGGGUCCCUGAGACUCUCCUGUGCUGCCUCUGGAUUCACUUUCAGUGACUAUGGCAUGAGCUGGGUCUGCUAGCCUCCAGGGAAGGGGUUGCAGUGGGUCGCAGCUAUUAGCUAUGAUGGAAGUGGCAUGUAUUAUGCAGACUCUGUGAAGGGCCGAUUCACCAUCUCCAGAGACAACAGCAAGAACACGCUGUAUCUGCAGAUGAACAGCCUGAGAGCCGAGGACAGGGCCGUGUAUUACUGUGCCAGUGACACAGUGAGGGGACGUCAGUAUCCUCCUCUGGCUGCUGCUUCCAAGCCUGUGCCUUCAGAGCUGCUGGUCAUUAAACCAAUGAUUCCUGAUACUUACAGCAACGCGGCUGUAAACUCUAGAACAAGCAAAAUCAUUCUGUCCCCAUUACAGGAGGGGUUCCACUUUCCUCAUGAGCCUGCCCACUCUGUCCCAAGGAGGGUGUCAGGGAUGCAGCACAGGACUGUGGAAGGAGCACCACCUUAUAUCCUGGGGCUCACUCUCACCCCAUAA